rnacentral:rRNA from 1 species
AGAGUUUGAUCCUGGCUCAGAUUGAACGCUGGCGGCAGGCUUAACACAUGCAAGUCGAGCGGAGAUGAGGUGCUUGCACCUUAUCUUAGCGGCGGACGGGUGAGUAAUGCUUAGGAAUCUGCCUAUUAGUGGGGGACAACAUUCCGAAAGGAAUGCUAAUACCGCAUACGCCCUACGGGGGAAAGCAGGGGAUCUUCGGACCUUGCGCUAUCAGAUGAGCCUAGGUCGGAUUAGCUAGUUGGUGAGGUAACGGCUCACCAAGGCGACGAUCCGUAACUGGUCUGAGAGGAUGAUCAGUCACACUGGAACUGAGACACGGUCCAGACUCCUACGGGAGGCAGCAGUGGGGAAUAUUGGACAAUGGGCGAAAGCCUGAUCCAGCCAUGCCGCGUGUGUGAAGAAGGUCUUCGGAUUGUAAAGCACUUUAAGCUGGGAGGAAGGGCAGUAAGUUAAUACCUUGCUGUUUUGACGUUACCGACAGAAUAAGCACCGGCUAACUUCGUGCCAGCAGCCGCGGUAAUACGAAGGGUGCAAGCGUUAAUCGGAAUUACUGGGCGUAAAGCGCGCGUAGGUGGUUCAGCAAGUUGGAUGUGAAAGCCCCGGGCUCAACCUGGGAACUGCAUCCAAAACUACUGAGCUAGAGUACGGUAGAGGGUGGUGGAAUUUCCUGUGUAGCGGUGAAAUGCGUAGAUAUAGGAAGGAACACCAGUGGCGAAGGCGACUACCUGGACUGAUACUGACACUGAGGUGCGAAAGCGUGGGGAGCAAACAGGAUUAGAUACCCUGGUAGUCC